rnacentral:rRNA from 1 species
CGUAGGGUGAACCUGCGGAAGGAUCAUUACCGAGUGUAGGGUUCCUAGCGAGCCCAACCUCCCACCCGUGUUUACUGUACCUUAGUUGCUUCGGCGGGCCCGCCAUUCAUGGCCGCCGGGGGCUCUCAGCCCCGGGCCCGCGCCCGCCGGAGACACCACGAACUCUGUCUGAUCUAGUGAAGUCUGAGUUGAUUGUAUCGCAAUCAGUUAAAACUUUCAACAAUGGAUCUCUUGGUUCCGGCAUCGAUGAAGAACGCAGCGAAAUGCGAUAACUAGUGUGAAUUGCAGAAUUCCGUGAAUCAUCGAGUCUUUGAACGCACAUUGCGCCCCCUGGUAUUCCGGGGGGCAUGCCUGUCCGAGCGUCAUUGCUGCCCAUCAAGCACGGCUUGUGUGUUGGGUCGUCGUCCCCUCUCCGGGGGGGACGGGCCCCAAAGGCAGCGGCGGCACCGCGUCCGAUCCUCGAGCGUAUGGGGCUUUGUCACCCGCUCUGUAGGCCCGGCCGGCGCUUGCCGAACGCAAAUCAAUCUUUUCCAGGUGACCUCGGAUCAGGUAGGUUCCCGU